rnacentral:rRNA from 1 species
GUAGUCCACGCCCUAAACGAUGUCGACUGGUUGUUGGGGGUUUGACACUCUCAGUAACGAAGCUAACGCGUGAAGUCGACCGCCUGGGGAGUACGGCCGCAAGGUUAAAACUCAAAGGAAUUGACGGGGACCCGCACAAGCGGUGGAUUAUGUGGAUUAAUUCGAUGCAACGCGAAAAACCUUACCUACCCUUGACAUGUCCGGAAGCCUGGAGAAAUUCAGGUGUGUCCGAAAGGAAACCGGAACACAGGUGCUGCAUGGCUGUCGUCAGCUCGUGUCGUGAGAUGUUGGGUUAAGUCCCGCAACGAGCGCAACCCUUGUCAUUAGUUGCUCCAUUAAGUUGAGCACUCUAAUGAGACUGCCGGUGACAAACCGGA